UCAUUUGGGUUCAGAGAUCCCAAAAUAGUAACUUUCUCGCCAAGUUCCUUGUAACGGUUCUCCCAUGGUCCUGACCCAGCUACCACAAGGUGAACAUUUGAAUGUGUUUCGAUUAGUUUUGCGAAGGCUUCGUAGAGAAUCGGAUGUCCCUUGUCUUUCACCAAUCUCCCUGCAGCUCCUAAGACAAUAGCCGAUGAGUUUUCUUGUAACCCUAGUUUUGACCUAAACAGAGAACGUAGCUUCUUGUCUGAUUUGAACCCAUUUUCGUCGACUCCGUUGAGGAUCACAUGAACCCUUUUCUCCGGGAUUUGGUAAACGUCUCUCAGCAUUUCCCCGCAGCUGUCGCUGAUUGCUAUGUGAUGAGCGUAGUUGUGGAAGAAUCUGAUUUCUUGAGAAAUUGAAAUAUAAUAUAGCCACUUCAUAGUUAAAUGUACAAGUGUUUUUAUAAUAUAUACUGUUAAUUUCUGUGAAAUUUAAGUAUAUGAUUUAUUUUGUAAAACUAUUAAAUAUGAUAUGAUAAAAGUUAUAAAACUGCGAUAUUUUCAUGUGGAAAUAGUUUUAUUGCAUAUCAUGCAAAUUAUAUUUGAAGUUAUAAGACAUAGUUCUUUCUAAUCAGAAGUACUUUUAUAUUUCACUUAAUUUAGCUAAAAACAUAGAAAGAAUGUUUUUUUAGUUUAUAAAAUCAAAUAGACAUGAACAUUGGCUAUCAAUUUAGGUACAUAUUUUUUUAGGGUAUUGUUUUUUUUUUUUUUGAAAUAAAGUUCCGCUUGAAUAUUAUAAAUUUAUGUGUCAUUUUGAGUUGAGUCAUUCUGAGUCUGGAUGAGUUCGGUUAUGAUUUAUAUGAAUCUAAAAAAUAUCUAAAUAACAAAUAUAUAUAUAAAAUAUGUUCGGAUAUUUGUACCAAAAAUAAUCAUAUUAUCCGAUUCGGUCCAAGUCGUUUAAAUACAAUUAGUUAUAUUACGACACAUCUAAAAUAUAUAACACUAAUAAUGAAAUAAAAUAUCAAUGUAAAAAAUGUAAAAACCAAUCUUAGUGUGGGUGCGCGGAUAAUCUCUAGUUAUAUUUGAAGUAUAAGACAUAGUUCUUUUUAAUCAGAAAUAGUUUUAUGUGGAAAGUUUAAUGAAUUUUCUAUUUCUUUGAAAUGACUUUCAUGUUAGUUGUUAUAGCUUAGAGUUUUUGACCCAAAAAAAAGAGUUAUUCAUAUGUUCAUACAUAUAAUUUUGUCACGAUUCACAAAUGAGACUAAACCAAAACUUUUCGAGUCACAAACUGGGUGACGAUUGAUUGGUAGAUAGGUAGUUCACAGUUGUUUUUUUGUUUGUCGAUUUUUCUUAUCUUUUUUUUUCUUCGUAAAUGCAUUAACUUUUAGGAACUUCCAUAAAACUUGUUGGUCCAACAAGUCUUCUUCUUGGCAUGUUCGGGCUUGUCUCGUGGUUGAUGGCUAUUUCGAAAAUCUGCAACUAUUUCAUAAUUUAAAAUAUGACGUCAAAAAUGAAUAUUUAUUAUCCUUUAUAUAAAAUUCUUAUUGUCUAAAUCAUAUAUAGAUAUGCAAAAAAUGGCCACCGGAUUUUUUUAUUAAACGUCUUUUUCUGAUGAGUAAGCUGUUUGUGGUUGAGAAAAAUCAAUGAAAUAGAUAUACAAAUAUUAAAUGUGACGCUUUUAGUAGUUAAAUGUUGUCUUUCUCAAACAGUCAAACUCAAUCAUUAUUGGGGUAAAAUAAUCAAAAACAAAAUUUGUAAAAUAAUAAAUCAAAUUUAGUAGUUAGAUUUUUUUAAUUUCUUGUCUCUGAAGAAACUUUGAUUGAUAUUGGCUCGUUACUAUACAGGUGUUUCUCUGUUGCUUACUUGCUGGUCUAAGUAUCUGUUGGUUCAACACAGUCUGCUUUGUGCUCUGCAUCAGCAACUUCCCUGCAAACAGAGCGCUUGCUCUGUCCAUCACAGUAAGCUUCAACGGUGUAAGCGCUGCCUUAUACACACUUGCUUACAACGCAAUCAACCCAACCUCUCCAGAGCUCUACCUUCUCUUAAACGCUCUCAUACCACUCGUUGUCUCCUUCACUGCAAUCAUCCCGAUACUUCGUCAACCGCCUUUCGAGCCUCUUCCACCAGAUGGAGUUCGCCGCGACUCUCUCAUGUUUCUACUGCUCAACAUUCUCGCCGCUCUAAACGGUGUUUACCUCCUCCUCUUUGAGUCAAACUCCUCUGAUAUAACCUCUGCUCGUCUCCUCUUUGGUGGUGCAAUCAUCCUCUUGGUCCUCCCUUUAUGUAUCCCCGGUUUAGUCAUCGCCCGUAACUGGUAUCAUCGCACGAUCCACACAAGUUUCCGCCUUGAAGGUUCCGGUUUCAUUCUCGUUCAUCCUGAUGAGCUUGAGCUGCAUAAAGGAAUGGUUGCACAUGAAGCCAAUAGAGAAGGCUACCAGUUGCUAAACGACGACAUUGUGCAAAACCUUGUUGUUAAGACUACAGCUCCAGAGGAAGGUGACACUGAUGAGUCCUGUUGCAAGAAGCUUAUUACAAGAGGCCAGCUUGAGAUAUUGGGAACUGAACAUUCUUUGUCGCAGCUCUUACGUAGAGCUGACUUCUGGUUCUACUAUAUUGCGUACUUCUGCGGUGGAACCAUCGGACUUGUGUACAGCAACAACCUCGGACAGAUUGCUCAGUCUUUAGGACAAAGCUCAAAGACUACAACUCUUGUCACACUUUAUUCUUCCUUCUCAUUCUUUGGAAGAUUACUCUCGGCAACACCGGACUAUAUCCGAGCGUAAGUGCAUUUGAUCCAUAUUAAUUUAUCGUAUUUAUUAAUUUAUCAAAUAUUAAUUUAUAGAGUUUAUAGUUUGGUUUUGCGGGUUUUGAUUUGGAUUAAGUUGUGCAGGAAGGUUUAUUUUGCAAGAACCGGGUGGUUAGCAAUCGCGCUUUUGCCAACACCAAUCGCGCUUUUCUUGCUCGCAUCAUCAGGAACCGCGUCAGCGUUACAAGCGGGAACAGCUCUGAUUGGUCUAAGCUCAGGAUUCAUAUUCGCAGCAGCUGUUUCGAUCACAUCAGAGCUCUUUGGACCAAACAGUGUUGGAGUUAACCACAACAUCUUGAUCACAAACAUACCGAUAGGAUCGUUGAUCUAUGGAUUCUUGGCUGCAUUGGUCUAUGACUCGCAUGGUUCGACUGCGAUCAAAUCAAUGAAAGACUCCGUCGUGUGUAUGGGACGGGGUUGCUAUUACUUGACCUUUGUGUGGUGGGGAUGCUUGUCGGUUCUUGGACUCGCUUCUAGUCUUGUGUUGUUUAUUAGGACUAGAAGAGCUUAUCAACGGUUUGAACAAGCUCGGAUAAGUUCAAAUAUUGAUUCAUAGAAAUUUUACCUUCAUUCCCCGACGGCUUGUGUAUAUCACAGUAUAUGUAGGGAUCUAUAUUUAACAGACGUAUUAAUGGACUGUUAUGGAUUUUGGCUGAUAAUAUUUUGUUGUCGCUGAUUUAUUUUAGUCUCAAAUUCUGAUAAUUGUUAAAUUAUCCUAUCCUUUCUACAAUAAUAUUAUUUUUUUUGGGUGAGAAUUUACGUUUGACAGCGCUACUUGCAACUAAAUCAUUUUAUGCUCUUUCUUUUAUGGUGGUGGAAACCUUCCUGACUGAUAAAUUAAUGAUACCGUUUUUAAAAAUACAGUUUUUAAUUAAGAUAUAAAAAUUUAAAAAAUUAUUUUGCUCGAGAAAGCAAUGUAUUUGGAUGUGCAAUCUCUUGUAACCGUUAUUUCUGAAGUGAUUUUUUAGUACCCCAUCAGUUAUGAAAUGAUUACAUUACUGAAGACUCACCUUUUCAUUACAGACAUAUAUAUAUAUAUUAAAAUGUUGAUAAAUCAAAGAUACUCGAGUAAUUAAAACUAUACUUUACUAAUUUAAGGGAAGAUACAAAACCUCUGAUCCUUAAUACAAAGAAAAAGCCUCUCAUAAGCUAAAGCCAUCUUACUCGCCGUAAACAUCUCCGCCGCAUACUCUUUACACUUCCUCCCUCUCUCCGCCAAUCUCUCCGCUCCUUCCGCCACCGCAACUUCCAUAACCGCCGUCAAAGCCUCCACAUUCGGCGCAAACAUAAACCCAAACUCAUCAUUCACCACAAUACUCCUCUUUAUGCUCGCAUACCUCGACGCCAUCACCGGUUUACCACUCAACAUCGCUUCCAUCAAAGUCAAAUCAAGACCUUGUGGUCUAAGCGUUGGAUUCACAAACAAAUCGAUCCCGUUGUAGAAACCCUUGAGCUCAUUUGGGUUCAGAGAUCCCAAAAUAGUAACUUUCUCGCCAAGUUCCUUGUAACGGUUCUCCCAUGGUCCUGACCCAGCUACCACAAGGUGAACAUUUGAAUGUGUUUCGAUUAGUUUUGCGAAGGCUUCGUAGAGAAUCGGAUGUCCCUUGUCUUUCACCAAUCUCCCUGCAGCUCCUAAGACAAUAGCCGAUGAGUUUUCU
rnacentral:lncRNA from 1 species